rnacentral:rRNA from 1 species
CCUACGGGAGGCAGCAGUGGGGAAUAUUGGACAAUGGGGGGAACCCUGAUCCAGCGACGCCGCGUGAGUGAAGAAGUAUUUCGGUAUGUAAAGCUCUAUCAGCAGGGAAGAAAGACAUGACGGUACCUGACUACGACGCCCCGGCUAACUACGUGCCAGCAGCCGCGGUAAUACGUAGGGGGCAAGCGUUAUCCGGAUUUACUGGGUGUAAAGGGAGCGUAGACGGCGAUGCAAGUCUGAAGUGAAAGGCGGGGGCCCAACCCCUGGACUGCUUUGGAAACUGUAGGGCUGGAGUGCAGGAGAGGUAAGUGGAAUUCCUAGUGUAGCGGUGAAAUGCGUAGAUAUUAGGAGGAACACCAGUGGCGAAGGCGGCUUACUGGACUGUAACUGACGUUGAGGCUCGAAAGCGUGGGGAGCAAACAGGAUUAGAUACCCCAGUAGUC